rnacentral:rRNA from 1 species
UUAAAGUCUGACCUGCCCACUGAAAUAUUUUAAAUGGCCGCAGUAUCCUGACUGUGCAAAGGUAGCAUAAUCAUUAGUCUUUUAAUUGAAGGCUGGAAUGAAUGGUUGGACGAAAUAUUAACUGUUUCAUUUAAAAUUUUUAUAGAAUUUUAUUUUUUAGUCAAAAAGCUAAAAUUUUUUUAAAAGACGAGAAGACCCUAUAAAGCUUUAUAUUUUAUUUAUUUUAAUUGUAAAGAUUAAUUUUAUUAUUAUAAAAUAAAAUAUUUUAUUGGGGUGAUAUUAAAAUUUAAUAAACUUUUAAUUUUAUAAAAUCAUUAAUUUAUGAAUAAUUGAUCCAUUAAUAAUGAUUAUAAAUUUAAGUUACUUUAGGGAUAACAGCGUAAUUUUUUUGGAGAGUUCAUAUCGAUAAAAAAGAUUGCGACCUCGAUGUUGGAUUAAGAUAUAAUUUUAGGUGUAGCCGCUUAAAUUUUAAGUCUGUUCGACUUUUAAAUUCUUACAUGAUCUGAGUUCAAACCGGUUUAAGCCAGGUUGGUUUCUAUCUUUAAAAAAUUAUUAUAUUUUAGUACGAAAGGACCAAAUAUUAAAAUAAUUAUAUUUUAAAAAAAGAAUAUUAUUAAAUUUA